AAAAGCAUCAUCUGCGAGCCCAAUCUGUCAACAUUAUGCAUGAUUAUUCAUCAAACGAGCGAUAUUAUUAUUGGAGACAUAGAGACUCGCCUCAGAGAAGCAUGAGGAUCGAUGCUGCUACACUAUAUAUUUCUCAUGUCAGUUUUGAGACUAGCUAAUGUCAAUGCAUUCUUCACUUGAAAUCUUUCUAAUUUGAAGAUCUAAAGUAAAGCCAUUGAUCUUUAUCGUAAAAGAGCUAGGGUUCUUUGAAGUAUAUUUGUUUUAAAGUGAUGAGAGAAAAAGAGAGGCAUGCUACAGUUUGGAUUCCGUCCUCUCUAUUUUCGGUUCCGCAAAACACACGUAUUCUUGAACAGAGCAAAGGACUUUGACUAAAAGGCCUGCAAAAGAAGAAGAGUCAAAAAAGCCCCCACCGACCCAAACAAUUUUGCAUUCAUAUGCACUAACUGCUUCAACUGAAUCCAAGUUAUUCUUGGAAGCAUUUGCAUGUACAGGAUCUGACUUGAACGAUUCG